GUAGUUACAGUCACACAUUACAGAUAGGGGUUUUCCAAGGACUCCGUUGUCCUGUUGGUUGAGAAGAAAGCGCAAGUAUAGCCUACUAUUGAAAAAUGUUCAAGGUUUAUUGUUUUUGUGCUUUCUAAAAUUCUCUUGAAUGUAGUUAUCAUUUCAGUGCGAGUAUUCCAUAUUCAAGUUGACAUGCGUCAUAGCCCGCCACUUCAAAAUAUGAUAAUAUGUAAUGCCAAACCAUCUCAAUUGGGUUUAGGUCAGGUGAUUGUGGAGCCCAACUCAUCUGAUGAGCACCAUCACUCCUUAUUGGAAAGCCAUUACACAGCCUGGAGAAUUAAUCUGGCUGCUUCUGUCACAUCUUCAAUAAACACUAGUGACCCAGUGCCAUUGGAAGCCAUGCCAUCACACUGCCUCCACCGUGUUUUACAGAUGAUGUGACAAAGGACAACUGGACCUUCUGGAUAUAAAUCCCUCCUUCAAAUCAUUCAGAAAGAGCACAGACUGAAACAUGCCCAAAGUUCCUCCAUUCCCAGAGCUGCCAAACUCCCACCUCAAAAAAUAUCUACUGAUCAGUCAACUCCAUUGGGGAUAACGGAUACGUUCCACUGAUUUGACAAAAAAAAGGUUUAACACUUGGACCGAUGAGAGAACAAAUGUAUCACACAAAUGUAGAAGUCCGCAGCCUAGAUAUUCCAACCAGUUGGUAACCACCUACACAUCUAAAAGCUCAGAACUACUGUACUAGGUAUCUUUAAGAAACAUUGGAAUAUUUUAGACUCAGAUCAAGCCUUAGAAAACACAUUUCAAUGUCAGUACACCAAGUGCAUUUAAAGGGUUUUCCCUUCCCAGUCCGGGCCAAGACAUAACUAUCAAAAAUAGCAUUCAUUGCAAUUCUCAUGAUGUCAUCCGUUAAACGCUGCCCUUGUGGCUUGUUUUAUGUUGGAGUGACUAGAAUACGUGAGCACAGUAGUUCCAACUGACGUGUAGAGGUUAGUUGCCCAGUGUCCCUUCACUUAAAAGAACGGGGCCACUCACAAUGCAAAUUCUUCAGCAGAAACAACCACAGAGAUGAUAUUGAUAAAUACCAAAGAAAUGAUUGAACUGAAUUUUCUUUUUACAAUCCGAUGUCUAAAUCACCUUACGGAAUUGAUAACUAUAAACAUGUUUUGUCAGAUAAGAAGACUAGUUCCAAUUAAAUAAAGAUUUCAUGCCAAACACUAAAAACAUCUAGAAUUGAGGUUCACAUACUUUCGAGCAGCACUGAACGUUUCUUUGUAAUUUGUUUUUAUUAACCAAUAUACACCUCUGGAAAAAAUUAAGAGACCACCACAACUUUUUCUUUCCUUUCCAAAAAAGCUGAAAAAGAAGGUUUUGAGUGAGGAACAGAAGGGUUAAAAUUAAGAGACCACUACAAAUUGAACGCUUCUGUUCCUCACUCAAAACCUUCCUUUUCAACUGUUUUGGAAAGGAAAGAAAAAGGUGCAUUGGUCUCUUAAUGUAUUCCGGACAUGUAUUAACCAGCCCCACUGGUUUAUAUAUUAAAUACGCCGAAGACUGAUAAUACACAGUAACUGUCUACUACUCCCCUUAACAAGACAACUAAGGUGUUGGUCAUCGCUAACCUAACUAUGUUUUUCAUUACCAUAAAAUGUUUGUUUGUUGUCUUUGUAUGACUGAUGAGGGCCACUAAAGUUUAAAACAUUUGCCAUAAUAAAACGUCUACAUUUUAAAUGGGGAGAGCUUUUAAAAUGUUGAUGUUUUAUUUGAUUUUGCGUCUGAACAUGGAAUCAUGUUGGUAGAGUGCUCUCCACUCUUUUCAUACUGUUCUAGAUAUUUCAAUACAUUAUGUUUAGAAAAGCAUGUUGUGUCACUAUCUGACAACUGUGUACUUCCUGGUAGUCAACAGUAAUUAAAUGGACAGAAGAGAGCCAAUUAGCUAAUGACCAGUAGAAACAAUACAUUCAAUUCCUUGGUGACCCACUGCAGAGACAAAAACAAGGUUAAAACACUGGUUGCAUAGACGCCAACUCUUUCUCUCCAACUCUCUCGACCAAAGUGC
ensembl:lncRNA